UACGGAGGGUGCGAGCGUUGUCCGGAAUUAUUGGGCGUAAAGAGCUUGUAGGCGGUUUGUCGCGUCUGCUGUGAAAAUCCGGGGCUCAACCCCGGACUUGCAGUGGGUACGGGCAGACUAGAGUGUGGUAGGGGAGACUGGAAUUCCUGGUGUAGCGGUGAAAUGCGCAGAUAUCAGGAGGAACACCGAUGGCGAAGGCAGGUCUCUGGGCCACUACUGACGCUGAGAAGCGAAAGCAUGGGGAGCGAACAGG
rnacentral:rRNA from 1 species